rnacentral:rRNA from 1 species
GAUGAACGCUGGCGGCGUGCCUAAUACAUGCAAGUCGAACGCUUCACUUCGGUGAAGAGUGGCGAACGGGUGAGUAAUACAUAAGUAACCUGGCAUCUACAGGGGGAUAACUGAUGGAAACGUCGGCUAAGACCGCAUAGGUGUAGAGAUCGCAUGAACUCUAUAUGAAAAGUGCUACGGGACUGGUAGAUGAUGGACUUAUGGCGCAUUAGCUGGUUGGUAGGGUAACGGCCUACCAAGGCGACGAUGCGUAGCCGACCUGAGAGGGCGACCGGCCACACUGGGACUGAGACACGGCCCAGACUCCUACGGGAGGCAGCAGUAGGGAAUUUUCGGCAAUGGGGGAAACCCUGACCGAGCAACGCCGCGUGAAGGAAGAAGUAAUUCGUUAUGUAAACUUCUGUCAUAGAGGAAGAACGGUGGAUAUAGGGAAUGAUAUCCAAGUGACAGUACUCUAUAAGAAAGCCACGGCUAACUACGUGCCAGCCGCCGCAGUAA